rnacentral:rRNA from 1 species
AUACGUAGGUGACAAGCGUUAUCCGGAUUUACUGGGCGUAAAGGGCGUGUAGGCGAUCUUGCAAGUCAGAAGUGAAAUUCCUGAGCUCAACUCGGGCGCUGCUUCUGAAACUGCAGGACUUGAGUGCUGGAGGGGAUAGCGGAAUUCCUAGUGGAGCGGUAAAAUGCGCAGAUAUUAGGAAGAACACCGGUGGCGAAGGCGGCUAUCUGGACAGUAACUGACGCUGAGGCGCGAAAGCGUGGGGAGCAAACAGGAUUAGAUACCCAGGUAGUCCACGCCGUAAACGAUGAAUACUAGGUGUAGGGGGUAUCGACUCCCUCUGUGCCGCAGUUAACACAAUAAGUAUUCCGCCUGGGGAGUACGGCCGCAAGGUUGAAACUCAAAUGAAUUGACGGGG